rnacentral:miRNA from 14 species
UGUGUGUGUGUGUAUGUGUGUGUGUGUGUGUGUGUUUGUGGCUGGCUGAACUGAUAAAACAGAGUUCAAUGGUUCAGGGGGAAAACAAAGCCAUCAACAUGACUUUAAUAACAGGGUGUAAUACACACACAUACAUACACACACACGCACACACA